GUAAAACAAAAAUGUUUAUUUAGACAUGUUUAAAUUUUAAACAUUUAACAUUUAAAUUCUAUUUAAAAUUUUAAAUUCUUUAUAUUUGAUUGUUAUACAGAUAACAUUAAUAAAUACAUAUUCAUUUUACUUCGUGUUUAGUUAGACACGCUGAUAAUACCGAAGAUUGCGUACCAAUAUUUUAUUUAAUGUACGAAACUGUCCUGUUUACGAUUACUAAAAAUUCUAACCACUGCUCAUGACAGCCGGGCACGCAGUCUCCUUUAUCUUUUCCGUGUUUCUCGCCAGCCUUCACGGCCAGUAUCGUGUGUGUUACGAGCGCUAAAUCUGCACGUAUCACACGAAUUUUCCGGAGAAAGACUGUUGGUUUUGCGAAAGCGCUAUUGUAGAUCCUAUAAUGUUCUCCAUUUCCAGGGCGAAUCCCAGGAGUUCUAUAAAACGUGUAGAACGAGUACUCGAGUUUUCUACCGACUGUUACUUCUUGAGCAACAUUUACCGUUUACGAGCGUCUUUUCGCGCCGCCACUCGUCUUCUUGCGAUCAAUGCUAAUUAAUACUACAGGCAAGUUCCGUAAACUCUUGGUGCUUUUAGGGUCAAUCACGAAAUUAGAAAUUUUACCUACACAUUUCUUGCCGUUCUACCCCGGAUUAAUGACGGAGAUCGCUAUAAAUCCGCAAUAUUAUCCCUUAAUUAUAUCGUAACACGCAAAUUUGGCGUGGUGACUCGCUUAAAAAUGGAAUUCUUCGAUCCGGCCCGACCGCGAAAGCUCCGCCCCUCCAUUCACGUCCCGUUAAUAGCGACCGCACUUGAAAUUGCAUACACGUCGCCAGUUUAAAUCCCGGAUGUUAGUGGCGUAGUGACGGCACCCGGUCGAUCUCCCAUAAUCGGGCUGUUUUUAUUCCGUCCCAGCCAUUGAUCGUGUGCGCGGCCCCCUUUCUUCCAUCCAUUCCGUCGAUCGACACCUAUCACGCGACCCUUUUUCCAUUCCUGAUCCUACCUAAUCAUCGGAGGUCUGCGUCAUUCUCCACGAACGACGAUUGCUUAUUUGCAAGGGUGUGGCGCACACCCCGGUGUACGUACCACCGUUCCUCCAUUGAGUUUCUGGGCGCGGUAAAGACUUGAAUGAACGCCCUUAACUUCGUCGUCCCACGUAACGAUCCCUGUGUAAAUUAGCGUUUCUUAAAUGCCCACGAUAUCGCCGUAUGUUACGCGUAUGCGCGAUUUCCAAGCGUAUUCCAAGAUUUUACUCAGCAGCGACAUAUUUUAUUUCUGACAAAUCCUUGAUCCUCCGACGGAAUUUUUACACACCUCUUCGAUUCACAUAAACACGCGCGCACACUUUUCCAUCUAACAAUGACGAGCUGAAACGGUUUUCUCGGAACUUCGAGCGAGUCGAGAAUAUUUGCAUCAUUAGCUCUGGCUUAAAUUUCAGGCGUACGGUUAAUAAGUUCGCGCAAAAAAUCUCUAAUAUCCAAGAAAAGCUAUAUCGAGAGAGGAAAACCAUAAUUCACGAAGCGGAUCUCGCGCUCGCUGGAGGACGGAGAGGAUAGGAUCCUCAUAGGAUCCCUCAAUACACAAGAACUUCAAAGCUUCGGAGGGAAAAGAGACCGAAUGCUGCUCGCAGGUACUCGGAGGGACGAUUCAUCGGAGAGGCUUGAAAAGAACGUGGAAAAGGAACGACGACCUACUUUUAUCUCCCACGCAGACCACGAUUUUUUUUUCUUUCUUUUUUUUUCUUGCCACGAGCCGAGGGACAGGUUCGCAAGCUAAGGACAAAGGGCGAACGCGUUCUCCAUCUUUCUUCGGGCAAAAGAUCGGAUCUACCCCACCACGCUAAUACUUUUCGCAAACACGCAGAUCCCGUUUAACGAUUAUGCAUAUUUGCCGAUUGUGGGGUCUCGUCUCCAAAUAUUCGAGAAUUCGAUGGAUUCUCGAAGCUGGCUGUUCGACAGCUAUAAGUAGCUGCGACCUUUCGAGGCUGCGGAAUAUCGAAAGUUCGCCAAGUUCAUUAUAUCCCGAACUUCGCGGCGUAUUGCGGCUCGGCUACUCGGUACGUAUACUUUUCAGUAAUCGAUAGUUCGGAAGUACCGGAAGCCUCUACCUCAAUAUACGCGCGCUGCAAUUUGGAUCACACCGGCAGGUUUAUAUAUGUACAUUAAAUUCGCGUAUUAUGAAAAUAGUUUCCCUACGGAAAAAAAAAAAAUUGCAGAACAGUUUCAUUAUACAAUUGCCGCGUGCGGCAAACGGUCAAUCUUAGAAAAUAGUUAUUGUACAUAAUUAUUUUCUAAAAUCAAAUGUGUAAACCGUUCGGUUAAAUGUCAAUUAAUAAAAACGAAUAUAAUUUUCAAGUGUGUAUUUUCAUUAUGUGCAAUAGCAGUUAAAUAUAACUUGAAAUUCACACCGCUAAAUAUAACUUGAAAACUUGUACUUUACAAAACUAUUAAAAAGGCAUUACUGAAAGAUAUAUUAGAGGAAAAAAGUUGAAUUGCAUUAUAUGAUCCUCUAAAGCCUGUUAAAGUCAAGCGAUGUUUAAUUCAAGAGAGUCACCUGAACUCUCCUCAGUUAAUUUUAAAUAACGUUUAUGACAACGGGUACUUUCGCAAACUCAUUUUCUUUAAUGGCAAAAAGAAAAAUGCCUUCUGUCACUGUCCCACCCAACGAUUCAUAUCUUUCUGCUCCAAAUCAGGGACAAUAAAAAAUUCAAGCGCGCGUGAAGGCUAGCGUUUCACCAGUGGGAUUUUUAAGCGGGUCACUCGCGGCAUAAAAAGGGUGACGAAAGGAGAGACGGAGUCGCAUUAGCCGAUCAGCAUUAUAGUUUACAGGCAUGAUGAGAACAACUUUGACCUGGAUCGCCGGCAUUCACCAUGCAUAACUACUACUGACCGCUCUCCUCUCUCAUCCCUCCUUCCCUUUCAACUCCCUUCGUAUCGUAAGUUUGCACACCGUCAGUUUGCACUGUGUCUGCGCCGCGUGUCGUGCAUCCCCGCGACCACUAACGCGGCCCCUGCAUAUGCACCAACGUGUCGCGUAAUCCGCGAUAGAACCGUGCGCACGGUAUGCACGUCGACGAUCUCCUCCCCGUCGUCGACGUCGUCGCCAAUAAAUCCGCAUAGAUCCAUAGAUUGCGCGGGGAUUAAUCUCCCUCCCGGAUGGGGGUGGGGGGGGGGAGGGGCGGAACGCUGGUCCCCGGUAUAAAUAAAUCGAUCACGUAAUGCUACAAGUCGGUCAUGUUUUUAAAGCAGUCAAGGUGAUGUAUAUAUCAUCCAGCUGUCCCUUUUCGUCGGACCGACCCCGUGCUUCUCUCUCUUCUCGAGGCUAGUGUACAUCUACUAUUCACUUAAUCAUGCAACCUGCACUGCAAAUUAUACAGCCGUUGACCUACAUAUCGCCAGGUAUAACAUGCCAAUUCCGUUCCGAUGCGUUCGCGUGAAAACGCGGGAGUUUGUUUAGCUUCAAGGACGCACGCGCAUAAAAGUAUGAUUUAUCUUUCGUUUAUUAGAAAAAUGGUUCGCGCCGACAUUUUCUGUACAGAUAAUGGAAUAUUUUCAUUAUCUUUGAAUCGAAAAAAAAGAGGUAGAAACUUAAUUUUAUAAAUUUUUAUAUUUCUUUCUGCCUUCGAAACGGCUUCAAAUUAAAAUUACAGCGAUGUAAAUACAAAUUAUGCAAACGCUACAAUUCAUAAUUUUAUAUCCUGAACGAAUAAAAAAUUAUAUAUCACGAUAUGUAAAAUUUUAUUUCCAUCUCUUUAUCGUCCGCAGUUAUCGAUAAAAUAUUCGAGACUUUAUUUGUAUACGGCAUUCAUUUUCACGUUUAACAAUGGUAAUAAUAUUCCGUAUGCAUUGGAACAAAAGUGAAAUUAUUCACGACGGAAGGAACCCGCGGUCGCGAAAAUCAUGUAAACUCCCGCGCUUCGUCGGUAUCGGGGGCUCUUUGUUUGCCACGCUGAAGUGGUGCUUGCGCGAGAUCGACGCCCAAGAUUGUCAUUCGCGAGCACGGGGCGCCAAAUAUCGAUUUCAGAUUCCAUACUGUCGCGUAACUUCGAUGUCGCGUGCCCUACUUUUUUAGAGGGCUAUCCAGAACCAUCAAUCGAUUGUACAUGAAUUAUCGAUCGCCGACUACAAAAAUUGAAAAAAAAAAAAACUAUAUACAACGCAGCGCGAACGUAAAACAAACUUGAAAUUUUAUUAUAAUCGUUACGUAUUCUUUUAUUCGAUAUUUUACACUGUCUAACGUUAUGCUUACGGAUCGUUACCGUAUACGUUUUCCAAUUCGAAAACCACAGUCAAUAUUCUUAUUUCAUCAUGUUGCAUCACCACAUUACACCAGUUAUUUCGGUAUUCAAAGACAGAAAUUAGAAAUUCUGAAAUAAUAUACGACCGUGUAGAACGAAAUGUAAUAUUACCCGCGGAUUAUUUAGUCUAAAUUUUGAAUUAGUGCUUUGCUGACCUGGAAGCACGAUAUUGCUGUGUAUAUGAACUAAAAUUAGGGGUUCGAAGCACUGCAGUAGAUCAUAAUUAGCAAUUUCUUCGCGUACAAGACCCGCUAGCCCGGGUAUCUCUCAAACUCCGUUUCGCCAAAUUAUUCCAUAAUACGUAUAUUUCAAGCACUCCAGGAAUUAAUUAAAUUAAUACUACCUCGUAAUCAUGAUUUUUUACUGGCGGCCUCUCAGCGUAUGUUUGAAUACUUCAUUACUACGUCAGUAUAAUGUAUUCAUGGAGCUUCAGCUGACAUUUCAUAAUGAUAAAAAAAAUUCCGUGCUCAAAAUCAUAAUUAAAGUUUCGGAAUGUUAUACGACAUUCAGAAAUACUGUGCAAACACAACCACGACUCUCCUUUCUCUCACUCGAAUGCGUGUAAUUAAAAAAAAAUUUUUUUAAUUACACGCUAAAACGGACUAUCGUUGGGAACAUCGGAUGGAAUUUUGUAAUUUAAUAUUCGUCACGAAUCGAGAACGACGUCACAAAUUUUUACAAAACGGAACGGUUGCUUCACAUCCCGCGAACCUUCAACGUUUUAUCCCGGCACCACCGCCGCCGCGCCGCGCCGGCCGAUAAUCUCUCUCGGCAAAGUGAUUUUCCACGUCCCGGCGCUUUUCGCUAUUCUUUUUCCAUGUCGCGGUACGCUUUGAUCAAGUUACGUGACGGCGAUUGUAUCACUGCAAAUGAUUGUACUCUCUGAAACUUUUUCAGAUGAGCUCGUCUCCUUUCGAAGUAUCUCGGUUAAUUCACACGCGCCUGGUAACAGUAAUCUAAGUCAAAUUAGGGUUGGUUCAUACUGUAUAUCUAUACGGUGACAGGCAGGCAAUUUAAUAUCGUUGUAUAUAGUAUAUUAACGGUCAGGAAAAACCGGGAAAUCACGGAAGAGUCAGAGAAUUUAAAAAUCACCAGGUGAAACUGGAAAAAGUCGGGAAAUUCAAAAAUUUAUUAAUCCAAGAUAAAAUUACAUUACUGUAGAUCAAUUGUAAAUUUUUUAACUUUUUAUUUUUAACUUUUUCUUAAUUCAUAAAUAUAAUUUAUAAAAUUAUUUAAAAAACAUUGUAAAUAUUUUUUAAUUUUAUAGUGCAAAAAGAUUUGCAAAAAAGAAAAAUUAAUAUAUUAAUGUUUACAAGUCAAGAUAUAAUUCUAUAUACGUUAACGAUGUUUUACAAAUCACAGCAAGAUUAUGAAAAGUUAUAUAAAAUAUUUAGAAAAUGCUUUAAUAAUCAUGUAUUUUUUUAACGCGAACGGAUUUAUUGCAAGAGACGUUUUAUUUAUCUUUGUAUCGUAUACAAAUAUUGUUAAAAAUUAUAUACAGUGUCAAGGUAAACAAAUUUUAAUUAAAACGGCAAAAGUAGAACAUAAUGUUUCAGUAAAACAAUUAAAUCUCAAUAAAUAAUGUGCAAGAUCAAAACUACAAUCCAAUCGACACUACAAACGCUUCGAAGCAUUCUUUGAUUCAUAAAAUUCUUUGUUCGAAUCAGUCAAAUGCUUCAAAGCAUUUGUAGCGUUGAGAUAUUUAGGAAAUAGAUGAAAAGAUAAAGGUUCUCUCUUAAAAGGUUCUUCUCUUAAAAGUGCAUUGAAAUUGAAAAGAUAAAUGCUUCUCUGAAAUGUGCAUUGAAGUUUUUAUCUUAUAAAUAUUUUAAAAAUACGUUGCAAAAGAAAUUAAAAUUUCAUUUCAUAUUAUCAUUUUUCAUAUAUUAAAAAAAUUUGUAAUUAAUAAAAAAAAAUUCUAAUAUUUUUCUUCAUUUUUAUUAAGUGCUACUUUUUAGCUUUCAGUAGAGAAUUUUUCUAAAAAGUGUGUCGGGAAAAAAUCAAGGAAUAUUUUUCCUAUUUCACUAACAACCCUGUAUUAUCAGACAAUCUUGCUAAGUAGUUUCAGACAGAUUUCUUAAUAUCGUAUUAAUCAACUUAUUAAAAAAAAAGCAAAAUGUUUAAAAAUUAUGUUCUUAAUGCUAGGUUGCUGUUGCUAUUUUAUUUGAAGAAGCGGAAAAAUUCGUAAAAAAAAUAAAUUAUAUAAUAAUGUGGAUACCUAAAAGUUUUUGAUAAAAGAGAAAACCAGAAUGAAAAUUUUACACAUCGUGUAAUUAAUAGAUGAUAAAGUGGUAAUGUCAAACUGUUAUCACCAUAAUUUUUACGUCCAAUCAAUUAAAUAAAAAUAUUCUUCAUUUUAAAUUAAUAAAAAAAUUUAAUUUUUUAUCCACUUUGGAUAUGUUUGACGGAUGCUAGUAAGAGUCAUGUGUUCACAUUGUAAGCUUCCGUCGCGUCGUCAGACCAGCAUCGACCAUCAAAAUAUUCUCUCCGAGAUUACCGGCCGUCAUCUGAUGGCGGCUAGAAGUGACGGUGACGUGCAAUAUGGAUAUUCUAAUGUAAAUUGUAAAUUGCAUAAUGUUUUAGCAGCAGCUGAAGCUUUAAGUCUACCUACCACCGUAUAGUGUACGCGUAACGUAUAGUGUGAAUCCAUCCUUAGAGUAAUUUUCCGCGUCAUCAUUUCGUCUUAAAGUGAUGGCGUAUUACUUUUUUAUACGAAAUUAACGAUUGCAGCGCACAUAAACAAUUAAUGCAUGUGCGACGCUGUUUUCACAGGGAGAGUAAAAGCUCCGUAAAUCACCAGUGGCCAUUUGCCCAAUUACGAGCGUGCCUUAAAUCCAUAUUUAAUUUUUCACAAUUAGCAAAACUGUUUCGAUGGACGCACGCCAAAUGUGUUCGGCCUAAUUAUUUUCCUAGCGGCCACACAGGUCGAAAUUCGGAAUCGUGGAUGGAUCUUCCCGAGGGGAAAAACGACGCUGGCGACGUUCGACGGCAUCCCCAGCGGACGCUGGAAGAUUCAGCAGCGCGCGCGAUCGGGCUUGCUGCCAAACCAAUUCAGCUGCAAUAAUAUUUGCAUAAACUGGAUUCGUCGUGUCUGAUGCAUAAAUCACGCAGCGACACGCGGCGGCAACGGUCUCUCUCGCCCCAUAAUAACGACUACGGAAGAAGCGGCCUUUGAAGCAUGCAGUGCCGCUUGGUUCAGCACCGUAAACAACGCUGUUGUUCUUGCUGCAAUUCCCACCCAGAGUGUCAUUCAAUCGGGCGUAUUCUUCGUGAUCGCCCGUAACGGAUAACGGAAAGGAGUUCUCCAGGGCUUUUUAGGCCAGAGAGGAUAGAAGACAACGGCAAAACACUCUACGACCGUAUAGACGUGAGUUGGCCGAAAUUGAAGAGUUCAAGAAGAAUGUUGGUUCUAUAUCACCAAAUUUUUCAUGGAAAACAAUAAACUGAUUCAAGUGCGACGUUUAUAUAUCACGGUUUUCUUAUAUUACGAUAAAAAAAAAACGAAUCAAUGCUAUUUAUUUAUUGUAAUAAUUGUAAUAAUUUAUACUUUAAAAAUAUGAAUAAUAUAUACUAA